CAGUAGCGUAUAUUAAAGUUGUUGCAGUUAAAAUGCUCGUAGUUGAAGUUCGGAUGCAGCAGAGCUUGGAAACGCUGUUAUGGUGCUUCCGUUGCUUUUGCUUGUCCACAGUGCGUUGCAAGUACGUAUGUGCUUGUGCGUGCAUUUUACUUUGAGAAACAUAGGGUGUUCCACGCAUGUUACGGCAUGAAUAUUCCAGCAUGGGAUAAUCUGGUACUACUUCCAAUCUGCCAUUUUGGUUCGUAGGUUGGAAGUAAUGAUUAAUAGGGACUGUCGGGGGCAUUGGUAUUUGACUGUCAGAGGUGAAAUUCUUAGAUUCGUUGAGGACCAACCACUGCGAAAGCAUUUGUCAAGGAUGUCUCCAUUAA
rnacentral:rRNA from 1 species